rnacentral:rRNA from 1 species
AUUGAACGCUGGCGGCAUGCCUUACACAUGCAAGUCGAACGGUAACAGGUUAAGCUGACGAGUGGCGAACGGGUGAGUAAUAUAUCGGAACGUGCCCAGUCGUGGGGGAUAACUGCUCGAAAGAGCAGCUAAUACCGCAUACGACCUGAGGGUGAAAGCGGGGGAUCGCAAGACCUCGCGCGAUUGGAGCGGCCGAUAUCAGAUUAGGUAGUUGGUGGGGUAAAGGCCCACCAAGCCAACGAUCUGUAGCUGGUCUGAGAGGACGACCAGCCACACUGGGACUGAGACACGGCCCAGACUCCUACGGGAGGCAGCAGUGGGGAAUUUUGGACAAUGGGCGCAAGCCUGAUCCAGCCAUGCCGCGUGCGGGAAGAAGGCCUUCGGGUUGUAAACCGCCUUUGUCAGGGAAGAAAAGGCUUCUGCUAAUACCGGAGGCUCAUGACGGUACCUGAAGAAUAAGCACCGGCUAACUACGUGCCAGCCGCCGCAGUAA